rnacentral:rRNA from 1 species
CAGGUUGAAGGUUGGGGAACACUAACUGGAGGACCGAACCCACUGUCGUUGAAAAGCCAGGGGAUGACUUGUGGAUAGGGGUGAAAGGCUAAUCAAACUCGGUGAUAGCUGGUUCUCCCCGAAAGCUAUUUAGGUAGCGCCUCGGACGAACACCAUUGGGGGUAGAGCACUGUUUCGGCUAGGGGGUCAUCCCGACUUACCAAACCGAUGCAAACUCCGAAUACCUACAAGUGCCGAGCAUGGGAGACACACGGCGGGUGCUAACGUCCGUCGUGAAAAGGGAAACAACCCAGACCGUCAGCUAAGGUCCCAAAGUCAUGGUUAAGUGGGAAACGAUGUGGGAAGGCUUAGACAGCUAGGAGGUUGGCUUAGAAGCAGCCAUCCUUUAAAGAAAGCGUAACAGCUCACUCAUCAAGCGAUCCUGCGCCGAAAAUGUAACGGGGCUAAAGCCAUUUACCGAAAUUGUGGGCUCGAAAGAGCGGUAGCGGAGCGUUCCGUAAGCCUGCGAAGGUGCACUGCGAGGUGUGCUGGAGGUAUCGGAAGUGAGAAUGUUGACAUGAGUAGCGACAAAGCGGGUGAGAGACCCGCUCGCCGAAAAUCCAAGGGUUCCUGCGUAAAGCUAAUCUGCGCAGGGUUAGCCGGCCCCUAAGGCGAGGCCGAAAGGCGUAGCCGAUGGGAACCACGUUAAUAUUCGUGGGCCU